ACAAGCGGUGGAGCAUGUGGUUAAUUCGAUGCAACGCGAGAACCUUACCUGGCUUGACAUCCCGGGAAUCUCCUGGAACAGGAGAGUGCCUUUCGGGGAACCCGGAGACAGGUGCUGCAUGGCUGUCGUCAGCUCGUGUCGUGAGAUGUUGGGUUAAGUCCCGCAACGAGCGCAACCCUCGACCUUAGUUGCCAGCAUUCAGUUGGGCACUCUAAGGUGACUGCCGGCUAAAAGUCGGAGGAAGGUGGGGAUGACGUCAAAUCAUCAUGCCCCUUAUGACCUGGGCUACACACGUGCUACAAUGGGCGGUACAAAGGGUCGCGAACCCGCGAGGGGGAGCCAAUCCCAAAAAGCCGCUCUCAGUUCGGAUUGCAGGCUGCAACUCGCCUGCAUGAAGCCGGAAUCGCUAGUAAUCGCGGAUCCAGCAUGCCGCGGUGAAUACGUUCCCGGGCCUU
rnacentral:rRNA from 1 species